UAACCGGAUAGCUUUAGCGGGCAAUAAGCGGGAGUCAUUACCCCGUUUCCGGUUAUUCCCUUUCGUAAUG
rnacentral:ncRNA from 12 species